rnacentral:tRNA from 1 species
GACCUUGUAGCUCAGUUGGUAGAGCAUGGUGUUUGCAACGCCAGGGUUGUGGGUUCGAUUCCCACGGGGGGCC